rnacentral:rRNA from 1 species
ACGGUGGCGGUGGCCACUAUGCAUCAAGAAACGGACAAGCAUCCAUUUGGUUUUAGCCAUUGUGAGUUGAUAUUGAAUGGCAAACCAAAGUGGACACAUCUUGUGGCCGAUCUCAAGGCUAGCAAGAAGAGGAACGAUGGCUCAAGCUCCCACCAAUCAAUUAGAUUGGACGGAGAAGAGGAAGAUGUUGUAGUGGAGAAUGGAAGAACCACUGUGACAAAGGAUAACCGGUAA